AUUUAAAUAGCUUAAUAUAGAGCUUAACACUGAAGAUGUUAAGGUGAUUUAUAAUCUUUAAAUA
rnacentral:tRNA from 1 species